rnacentral:lncRNA from 10 species
ACUCUUUCGGCGCUAGCGGCGGCUGGAAGGGACGAGAGCCUGGCCUAGGAGGAAGGAGGCGGCUCCAGGACCGCAUUACCUGAUCAGAGCCGCGACCCUCAUGCUGGGCGCAGUGCGCGUGCGUGCGGCGAGCGCGGGCGGGAGCCAGGAGGUCGCGCCGCAGCUCGCGUGACGCACCGCGGGGCCUCGCCCGGGUGUUCGCUCCGCCGCCUGUCCGCGGAUCGGCGCUGCGAGCCCCGCGGCUGCCUGCGGGACACCUGAGCGCGGAGGGUGCGGCACCUUGGCACCUUGACCCUGUGGCAGGGACAUCUCGGCCCAGGAAAGAAUGAGGUUUAGGCACGGCCUAACCACCUAAGUGAGGGCACUGAAGCUGCCGGGGGAAGGGCAAGGUCCGCGUUGCAGAGCCCAAGCCCAGUGGCGCAGGAUUUGUUUUGGUCUCAGUUUGCUUCAUCUCUGGAAUGGAGAUGGUUUCCUAUGUGAUCAUGAAAAUUUCUCCCAGCUCUGAAGACCUUUUAUUUUGUAAGAAUCAUUGUGAAGGUAUGGGCUUGGCAAAUGAAUGGAAAGAUGAGCAAUGGGAGAGGAAAGAAUUGAAGAGGGCUGUGAGGUUUGAAGAAUGGCAUCCCCCAUGAAGUGGCGCUGAAAGAUCACGAUAGCACAGUUCCAUGAUGUGAAAUACCACAAGUCUGCAAUUUUUCGGUCUUGAGAGUGUCGCUGGGCUGAGAGGAUGGAAAUCUUUCAGUAAUUAUACCAGUUUGUAUUCGUCUCACAUUUGGGACCAAAUACAAAUCCGAUCCACUCUUUCUCCCUGUGAAUAUUCAUAAAAAACAAAGUGCCAAUUCUGGUCUAAUCAUGUAUGGAACCAAAUAUGUUGAUGAGUCCUAAGUAUAUACUGUAUGUAUGUAUACAUAUGAAUAUAUAUAUUUGUACACACUAAUUUUGCUUGUGUCCUCCUCUGUGCAAUUUGUUUGUUUAGUAUAGGGGUUGCUGUUAUAAUGUGUUAAUAAGCUGCUGAAAGCUUGGCACCUAUUACUUGAAAUGACAGCUAUGUUAGAAGCCUAUUAACACUCCAUAGCAGCAGCUCUGCAGCUACUAGAAAUGAAUUUCAAAGAAGGUAAAUGAACAAAAGCGAUUCAUAUCUCUAAGGAAAGCAAAUACCAUGCCUAGAACCAUAUAUACUUUGGAAAUGUACAGUGUAUAAAAUGAAAAACCUCUUCCAGUUAAAGAAACAGCGGAAGGGAAUAUUUGGGGAAAGGAAGACUGCCUAAAAGAUUUCCAAACAACCUUGAAGAUGUAAAUGUAAAGGAUACCAAACAUAACUUCCUCUCUUUGUUUCUAUUGUAUUUAAACCAGAUCCAUGUCAAACUUAUAAGAACAGAAUAUAGUACAGGUAGAGGAAAUUCACUUUUCAUGAGCAAAAGUUAAAUCAUCUGGAUUUAGCUCAAACUUCUUUUUCUUCAUUUCUGAGCUUAGAAGGACACCCUUUGCUAUUGUUCUCGGAAGCAGGGCUCUUUAUGAGUCAGCUUGCUCUGCUUUUGAACUACUUUACUUACUUUUGACUGUCAUUGGAAUUUGCAAGAUGGUUGAAAGUCCUGGGUAAACCUUAACCAUGAUAAUAAAAAUGUGGUAAGUUAA